rnacentral:rRNA from 1 species
UGAAGCUGAGCAACUCUAGACGAACUGCCGUUGACAAAACGGAGGAAGGUGGGGAUGACGUCAAAUCAUCAUGCCCCUUAUGUUCUGGGCUACACACGUGCUACAAUGGCCGGUACAGACGGAGGCGAAGCCGCGAGGCGGAGCAAAUCCGAAAAAGCCGGUCUCAGUUCGGAUUGCAGGCUGCAAUUCGCCUGCAUGAAGUCGGAAUCGCUAGUAAUCGCGGAUCAGCAUGCCGCGGUGAAUACGUUCCCAGGCCUU